GAGAGAGAGAGAGAGAGAGCCCAGUCAAUUUAGUAUCUCUUUUUUCGAUCCAUUAUCAAUGGCCUAGUGAGAGUUGUCUUUACUUGUUUCAUCAGAUUAUGACCUCCUUCAUCUUGUAACUCUCCACAGUGUAAAUUGUGGUCGAAAUAGAUUUAAAGAUGUAUUUCAUGGAUGGCCCACAUUUUUCUCCCUGAAGUCCUUGUGCUUUAGGAAAAUUUGAACAGAGCAAUGAUCCAGCAUAUUGUCCACUUUUCACUGUAUAGCAGUCCACUUGUUGGCAACAGUCCUAAAUUAUCUUAUAUAUGGCCUUUUUGUCUUUGUUCAGCUUAUGUUUGAUUCUGCAAUUGUUUAUCCAGUGCUUGAU
rnacentral:misc_RNA from 1 species